rnacentral:rRNA from 1 species
GACGAACGCUGGUGGCGUGCUUAACACAUGCAAGUCGAGCGAAGCGGCGGACGGGUGAGUAACACGUGAGUAACCUGCCUUAGACAUUGGGAUAGCCUCGGGAAACCGGGAUUAAUACCAAAUGGUCUAAGAUGGACUCGCGUCCCAUUAGCUAGUUGGUGGGUAACGGCCCACCAAGGCGACGAUGGGUAGCCGGCGUGGGAGGGAGAACGGCCACAUUGGAACUGAGAAACCGCCCAAGCGCUACGUGAGGCAGCAGUGGGGAAUAGUGCACAAUGGGGGAAACCCGGAUGCAGCAACGCCGCGUGCGGGAUGACGGCCUUCGGGUUGUAAACCGCUUUCAGCCAUGACGCGGUAGUGGCAGAAGAAGCACCGGCUAACUACGUGCCAGCAGCCGCGGUAAUUC